UACGGAGGGUGCAAACGUUGCUCGGAAUCAUUGGGCGUACAGCGCACGUAGGCGGUCUGUUAAGUCGGAUGUGAAAGCCCCGGGCUCAACCCGGGAAGUGCAUACGAAACUGGCGGACUUGAAUAUGGAAGAGGGUCGCGGAAUUCCCGGUGUAGAGGUGAAAUUCGUAGAUAUCGGGAGGAACACCAGUGGCGAAGGCGGCGACCUGGGCCAAUAUUGACGCUGAGGUGCGAAAGCGUGGGGAGCAAACAGG
rnacentral:rRNA from 1 species